AAUCAACGCUGGCGGCGUGCCUAACACAUGCAAGUCGAACGAGAAAGUGACUUCGGUCACUGGACAGUGGCGUCCGGGUGAGUAACACGUGGGUAAUCUACCUUCGGGUGGGGAAUAACGUCUCGAAAGAGACGCUAAUACCGCAUAAUGCAGCGGCACCUUAUGGUGGAAUAGUUGUUAAAGCGGGGAGUCGCAAGACCUCGCGCCUGAAGAGGAGCCUGCGGCGAGAUAGCUAGUUGGUGAGGUAAUGGCUCACCAAGGCUGCGAUCUGUAGCUGGUCUGAGAGGAUGAUCAGCCACACUGGAACUGAGACACGGUCCAGACUCCUACGGGAGCAGCAGUGGGGAAUAUUGGACAAUGGGCGCAAGCCUGAUCCAGCCAUGCCGCGUGUGUGAAGAAGGCC
rnacentral:rRNA from 1 species